rnacentral:rRNA from 1 species
UACGUAGGGUGCAAGCGUUAAUCGGAAUUACUGGGCGUAAAGCAUGCGCAGGCGGUUUUGUAAGUCUGAUGUGAAAUCCCCGGGCUCAACCUGGGAAUUGCGUUGGAGACUGCAAGGCUAGAAUCUGGCAGAGGGGGGUAGAAUUCCACGUGUAGCAGUGAAAUGCGUAGAGAUGUGGAGGAACACCGAUGGCGAAGGCAGCCCCCUGGGUCAAGAUUGACGCUCAUGCACGAAAGCGUGGGGAGCAAACAGG